AGACCCGAAACCCGGUGAUCUAGCCAUGGGCAGGUUGAAGGUUGGGUAACACUAACUGGAGGACCGAACCGACUAAUGUUGAAAAAUUAGCGGAUGACCUGUGGCUGGGGGUGAAAGGCCAAUCAAACCGGGAGAUAGCUGGUUCUCCCCGAAAGCUAUUUAGGUAGCGCCUCGUGAAUUCAUCUCCGGGGGUAGAGCACUGUUUCGGCUAGGGGGCCAUCCCGGCUUACCAACCCGAUGCAAACUGCGAAUACCGGAGAAUGUUAUCACGGGAGACACACGGCGGGUGCUAACGUCCGUCGUGAAGAGGGAAACAACCCAGACCGCCAGCUAAGGUCCCAAAGUCAUGGUUAAGUGGGAAACGAUGUGGGAAGGCCCAGACAGCCAGGAUGUUGGCUUAGAAGCAGCCAUCAUUUAAAGAAAGCGUAAUAGCUCACUGGUCGAGUCGGCCUGCGCGGAAGAUGUAACGGGGCUAAACCAUGCACCGAAGCUGCGGCAGCGACGCUGAUGCGUUGUUGGGUAGGGGAGCGUUCUGUAAGCCUGUGAAGGUGGCCUGUGAGGGUUGCUGGAGGUAUCAGAAGUGCGAAUGCUGACAUAAGUAACGAUAAAGCGGGUGAAAAGCCCGCUCGCCGGAAGACCAAGGGUUCCUGUCCAACGUUAAUCGGGGCAGGGUGAGUCGACCCCUAAGGCGAGGCCGAAAGGCGUAGUCGAUG
rnacentral:rRNA from 1 species